rnacentral:rRNA from 1 species
UACGUAGGGGCUAGCGUUGUCCGGAAUCAUUGGGCGUAAAGCGCGCGUAGGCGGCCCGGUAAGUCCGUUGUGAAAGUCAAAGGCUCAACCUUUGAACGCCGAUGGAUACUGCCGGGCUAGAGUCCGGAAGAGGCGAGUGGAAUUCCUGGUGUAGCGGUGGAAUGCGCAGAGUAUCAGGAGGAACACCGAUAGCGAAGGCAGCUCGCUGGGACGGUACUGACGCUGAGGCGCGAAAGCGUGGGGAGCGAACAG